GCUGGGUGGAUCAGUGGCGAACGGGUGAGUAACACGUGAGCAACCUGCCCCCUACUUCGGGAUAAGCCUUGGAAACGGGGUCUAAUACCGGAUAUGAACACUUGCCGCAUGGUGGGUGUUGGAAAGUUUUUCGGUGGGGGAUGGGCUCGCGGCCUAUCAGCUUGUUGGUGGGGUAAUGGCCUACCAAGGCGUCGACGGGUAGCCGGCCUGAGAGGGCGACCGGCCACACUGGGACUGAGACACGGCCCAGACUCCUACGGGAGGCAGCAGUGGGGAAUAUUGCACAAUGGGCGAAAGCCUGAUGCAGCGACGCCACGUGAGGGAUGACGGCCUUCGGGUUGUAAACCUCUUUCAGCAGGGAAGAAGCGCAAGUGACGGUACCUGCAGAAGAAGCGCCGGCUAACUACGUGCCAGCAGCCGCGGUAAUACGUAGGGCGCAAGCGUUGUCCGGAAUUAUUGGGCGUAAAGAGCUCGUAGGCGGUCUGUCGCGUCUGGUGUGAAAUCCCAUGGCUCAACUGUGGGCUUGCAUCGGGUACGGGCAGACUAGAGUGCUGUAGGGGAGACUGGAAUUCCUGGUGUAGCGGUGGAAUGCGCAGAUAUCAGGAGGAACACCGAUGGCGAAGGCAGGUCUCUGGGCAGUUACUGACGCUGAGGAGCGAAAGCAUGGGGAGCGAACAGGAUUAGAUACCCUGGUAGUCCAUGCCGUAAACGUUGGGCACUAGGUGUGGGGCCAGUUCCACUGGUUCUGUGCCGCAGCUAACGCAUUAAGUGCCCCGCCUGGGGAGUACGGCCGCAAGGCUAAAACUCAAAGGAAUUGACGGGGGCCCGCACAAGCGGCGGAGCAUGCGGAUUAAUUCGAUGCAACGCGAAGAACCUUACCAAGGCUUGACAUGUACGAGAACGCGUCAGAGAUGACGAACUCUUUGGACACUCGUACACAGGUGGUGCAUGGUUGUCGUCAGCUC
rnacentral:rRNA from 1 species